rnacentral:snRNA from 1 species
GUCACUUCUUGGCCUUUUGGCCAAGAUCAAGUGUAGUGUCUGUUCUUAUCAUUUUACUAUCUGAUACAUUCUCUAUCCAAGGAAAAUAUAGUAAAUGGAUUUUUGGAGCAGGGAGUUAUAGCCCAA